rnacentral:sRNA from 1 species
CAAGGCCUAUCUUAUGGGUUUUAUGCCUAAAAGGGCAAUUUCAGUAGAAAUAUCAGGCAGUCAAAAUGCAAGACUUUGAAUAAGCUGUGAGACUGCCCACUUUUCAAUUCCUAAAUAUUCUGAGACCUCAAAUUUGUCUAAUCAGUAGUAAAGCAUUUUACAUGGCAUAUAUGCAGAUAGUUGAGUGAUUUUAAAAUUUUAUUUCCAGUGAUGUUUUCUCUUAAUAAAUAAACCUAUGUGUAGGAGAGUGCGUAUGUGCACGUGUGUUAACUGUCACAUAGAUAGCUGGAGCUUUCCUGCCCCUUAUAAUCUAGGUGGAAUUGCCUUGAACCUCCUAAUCCACAGGCUAUAGAAAUUCAAAGCAUAUGUUUCUUUGUUACACUGUUGUUUUUUUUUAUCACAUCUAUACUGUAUACUAGAUGUGAAACUUGGCACCUCAAGUUUCAUAUAAAACACCUACUUAACAAAAGAUCUGUGAAUGUACACUUCACUGAAGGUUUGGCAGAGAAGACAGAAAGGGAGAAGUUAUCAUUCUUAAAAAUCUACCGCUGACUUUUGAAUUUAUCCCAGUCUCUUUUUAUCUUGCUUUUUCUCUCUCCUUUUCCUUCUCUAUCUUUGUCAAGGGCAAAAUAACAGAUUGUUCUCUAUCAUGCAGAGCAAACCUUGGCACUAGUUGUUGCCCAGGCCCUUGGGAUUUUUUUACCUUUAGAGCUUGUCAAUGUGUUUUUUCCAUCAAGUUCUCUCUAAAGGAAGUAUGGUACCAGCUGUUGAUAUAAUAAUAAUUUUUCUACCAAAGAAUAUAAUAAAGAGAUGCAAUUUUUAAGAGAAAAACAACAAGAUAAUUGGUUGGUUCAGAUGGUUUCUGUCAGCUAAUUAAAAAGUGAGGCCUUUUAUCAUUCUGUUUGAGCCUUGUUCUACUGUAAGCAGGGUUCAGCAGAAAAGCACCAUGUUUUGGAGUUAGUUGAGCCUGGAUUUGCAUCCCAGCCUUAUCCACUUAUGAGUUAGGUGAUGCUGGACAAUUUUCUUAACUCUUCAGGGCUACUUCAUAGGAUUGUUAUGAAGAUUAUAUGAGAUUAUGCCAAUAAAACUCAUGCCUGAGGAAGUGGUUGCUCCCUUUCUGUGGGUCAGUAUUGGUGCAAGAACUGGAAACCAGCCCUUGGAGAAUAGUUAUACAUUGGCCAUGAUUUUCCACAGCCCUGGAAAUGCACAAUUCUAUCCUCCUACCAGGAUGAUUGUUAAGUUUUAACUAACAUUUGAUUAUAAAAGGCUGUAAGUAUGAGUAUCUCUGAGAUAAUUUGUGUAUUGGACAGAGGUGUGUAAUAGCACUUUUUUAAAAAAAACCUAGGUGUGAAGGAAUUACAAGUCCAGAAGGCUCAAAAUCUAUAGUGGAAGGAAUCAUAGAGGAAGAAGAAGAAGAUGAGGAAGGAAGUGAGUCUAUAAGCAAGAGGAAAAAGGAAGAUGACAUGGAGACCAAGAAAGACCAUCCAUACACCUGGAGAAUUGAACUGGCAAAAACAGAAAAAUACUGGGACGGCUGGUUCCGAGGCUUAUCCAAUCUCUUUCUUAGUUGUCCCAUUCCUAAAUUGCUGCUCUUGGCUGGUGUUGAUAGAUUGGAUAAAGAUCUGACCAUUGGCCAGAUGCAAGGGAAGUUCCAGAUGCAGGUCCUACCCCAGUGUGGCCAUGCAGUCCAUGAGGAUGCCCCUGACAAGGUGAGUCUGGUGCUCAGUGACUGUAAAAGGACAACUGUGAGAAUAACCCUGGAUGUCACAGAAGACAAGUCUCUGAGUCUCAGCCUGCAUUGCCUGCAGCAGCUGCUGUGGAGCCUAUGCAGAUGCAAUUCCACCAGCUCUCCAACUUCUCCCUGGCAGCUGCUUAUGGUAUUGGUUUUGUGUAUAUGUGCUGAGGAGCUACUGACACCCUGCUGUUUCAUCCCAGGGCCCUGUGGUUAAGAUCUUAAGCUCUACUUCUCCAAUACCCCCAAAAGCCAGAUGGAAGAGGGAUGAUUAGGGUAGAAACUGCUCCCUAAACCACAGGCACAGUUAGGAAUUAAUAUGGGCUCCUCCUGUGAGAAAACACCAUUUUGUAACUAAGGGCACAAAUAAGCCCUUCACGUCAUUCCUCUUGAGCUCUAUGGAGCUAUCCCUGGCAAGGAUGGUGGGGAGGAGUCUUCUAGCUCUGCUAGGGAGGGCCUAGGUCCUUUUAAUUUCAAGCCACUCAGACCUGUGGGUGGGAUGAGGGCACCAUAGAGCCUAACCAUAUAACAAGUAGCCCACAGCCCAAGGCUAAGCCCCAUCACUAACCUUUAUAUGGCCUGGAAUAUCUCUCCCAUUUCCAGGUAGCUGAAGCUGUUGCCACUUUCCUGAUCCGGCACAGGUUUGCAGAACCCAUCGGUGGAUUCCAGUGUGUGUUUCCUGGCUGUUAGUGACCUGCUGUCCACCUCUCCUCAACAUCGAGCUCUGUUGUAAAUAUGUCGCACCAGAGGCCACUGUGAUGCCACUGUCUCCUCUCCAUCCCGCCCAGCCAUGUGACACUGGCUCCCUGUAGACGGGCACCCCGAGAUGUACCAACCUUUUCAUGUAUUCUGCCAAAAGCAUUGUUUUCCAGGGCCCUUGACCAACAUUGGCUUCCCCAGUCCAGGGCUCCCCUGCUCCUUUCCCUUCCCUGUACUGGGGUAGCUCCUGCCUGCUCUCCCUGCGUUGCCUAGGGUAAAGCCUCCAGAUUUGCCAUACUGAGCCCCUCUCUUCCUAGCAUCAGGAGAUACAUCUGAGUCCAAAUGUCUUCCCAGGCUCAGGGACCUCCAUCCCUUGAGAUUGUCUUGGCAUGGCCCAGCCCUGCCUUAUGGGAUGGACAAUGCAUGGGGUGGUCUUUAUUUUUCCCUUUCAAAUAAAACACUAGUCGGGUACCAUUUUAUCCCAGUCGUACUCUUCCAGGUUUGGAAGACCCAGAGAGGCCAAGAUCCCAUCCUUAGCCAUAGCGAGCGGUGGUGGUGGAUAGCAUCACAAGAAACCAGCCUGAAAAUCAGGUCCAGCCAGUCCAAGCACAUGGCCUCCCAUCUGGGAGAGCCCACUGUCCCACUCCCACAUGUCUGGGCACCUGCCCUGGGCUGAGGCCAGGCUGCUCCAGGGGCCUCCUGAGCCCUCACCUGCCACAGAGCAACCCAGGUUAAAUACAGCCCAUGCACAAAGCCACAGGCCAAAGCCUAUGGAAUUGUUUUUAAUCAUCAAAUUUAACCAUUUUCAUAACUGGUUCCUGGAGGUGUGCAGUGCCCCCUUGCCUCUUCAAACCUACAGCUUCUCUUUGCCAUUUGUGGAUUUCACAUCACUCCACACAGAAACAUUACAGCCUGGCAUCCCCAGUCUUUGCCUUCUUCCAGCUGCCUCGACACAGCACUGCGGCCUGUCCCUAUUGCCCAGGCACGCCAUUUCCAAGGGCAGGAAGGGGCAGUGUCCUGAAGCCCAUCUUUUCUGUGACUGUCUUAGGUGAUGUGUAGCCCCUCCACCUUUUCACUCAACAACCUCCCACCCCUGUCCUGCUGCAUGGUCCAGAAUCUGGGACCUACUUUGUUUUUUGUUAUUUAUGACCUUGUUUAAAGAAAAUAAAUAUCUCCCAACCUUUA